GCGUGAGCCACACACCCGGCCAAUUUUGGUUUGGCUGGCACAGAAGUAUGACCACAAGAUGGACCUAAAAUAUGCACAUUUGUAAGAUUUUCCCCCAUGGUGGGAUUCACACCAUCUGCUCCCCGGUUCUCUGAUCCAAUCUGUAUUCAUCACCAGAUUUCCUGGGUUUCUAACUUACAGACAACAAAUUGUGAGACUUCUCAGCCUCCAUAAUCACAUGAACCACCUUCUCUUAAUAAAUAUAUGUAUUUAUGUGCUGGGCUCAGUGGCUGACACCUUUAACACCAGCAAUUCAGGAGGCCGAGGUGGGCGGAUCACCUGAGGUCGGGAUUUAGAGACCAGCUUGACCAACAUGGAGAAACCCCAUCUCUACUAAAAAUACAAAAUUAGCCAGGACUGGUGGCUUAUGCCUGUAAUCCCAGCUAUUUGGGGGGCUGAGGCAGGAGAAUUGC
rnacentral:lncRNA from 1 species